rnacentral:rRNA from 1 species
AAAUUGAAGAGUUUGAUCAUGGCUCAGAUUGAACGCUGGCGGCAGGCCUAACACAUGCAAGUCGAACGGUAACAGRAAGCAGCUUGCUGCUUUGCUGACGAGUGGCGGACGGGUGAGUAAUGUCUGGGAAACUGCCCGAUGGAGGGGGAUAACUACUGGAAACGGUAGCUAAUACCGCAUAACGUCGCAAGACCAAAGAGGGGGACCUUCGGGCCUCUUGCCAUCGGAUGUGCCCAGAUGGGAUUAGCUAGUAGGUGGGGUAACGGCUCACCUAGGCGACGAUCCCUAGC